rnacentral:rRNA from 1 species
GUCCACGCUGUAAACGAUGAGAACUGGGUGUGCGAGAGGAUAAAACCUUUUGCGUAUCGAAGCUAACGCGUUAAGUUCUCCGCCUGGGGAGUACGGUCGCAAGAUUAAAACUCAAAGGAAUUGACGGGGGCCCCGCACAAGCGGUGGAGCAUGUGGUUUAAUUCGAUGCAACGCGAAGAACCUUAACUACCCUUGACAUGUCACGAAGCCCGGUUAAGCACUGGGCGUGCCGAAAGGAACGUGAACACAGGUGCUGCAUGGCUGUCGU